rnacentral:ncRNA from 1 species
UCCCACUAUUUUAGAAAAAUAGGAUUAAGGUUUAAUUCUAGCUUAUUAAUUUGCUCUUGGUUAAAGGAAUAUGUAUGUUUAUGCAUGUUUAGUUUUCCUAUUUUAGAAAAAAGGUACUUUUUCGAUGCUCAGUUUUAAGUUUUGUUUUAAUUAAUAAAUAUUAUAAAUAGUUAAAUCGAUUAGAUUUAACCAAGUUUGUGCCAGCAGUUGCGGUUAUACAAUAAAAUCAAGUGAAUAUAUAUUGGUUGUAUAUUAAUAAACUUAUAUAUUAAUAAUAUCAAUAUAAAUUAUUAGGUGAAAUUUUAAUUUUAUAAAUUUAUUGGGUUUAGGUUAUUAUAUAUGAAAUCUAUUAUAGGGACUAGGAUUAGAUACCCUAUUACUCAUAGAUGUUAAAUAAUAGCCUUAUUAUUAUUAGUUAUGUUCUUUAAAAUAAAAGAAUUUGGCGGUAAUUUAAUCUUUCCAGAGGAGCCUGCCCUGUAAUCGAUAAUCCACGUUAGUUAUGACUUUAAUUUUAGCUUGUAUACCUCUGUCAUUGGAUGUUUUAAUAGAAUGAUUUCCUAUAAACCUUUUAUGGUAAAAUGUUAGGUCAAGGUGCAGUAAUAUUUAAGUAGAGGUGGGCUACAGUAUGAUUAUAUAUUAAUGUGUUAAUGUAAUUUAACAUUGAAAUUGGAUUUGGUAGUAAUUUUUAAUAAUUAUUAAGGGUGAUUUUGGCUCUAAAUUAUGUACAUAUCGCCCGUCGCUCUCAUUUACAAAUGGGAUAAGUCGUAACAAAGUAGGUUUACUGGAAAGUGUCCCUAGUAAGAU